CCCUUAGACGUUCUGGGCCGCACGCGCGCUACACUGACCAGUGCAACAAGCAUCCGUCCUUGGCCGACAGGCCCGGGCAAUCUUUGAACGCUGGUCGUGAUGGGGAUAGACUUUUGCAAUUUUUGGUCUUCAACGAGGAAUUCCUAGUAAACGCAAGUCAUCAACUUGCAUUGAUUACGUCCCUGCCCUUUGUACACACCGCCCGUCGCACCUACCGAUUGAAUGGUCCGGUGAAGCCUCCGGAUUGGCGCGCACCUCGGUGCCGCCGAGAAGUUGGCUAAACCUUACCAUUUAGAGGAAGGUGAAGUCGCANCA
rnacentral:rRNA from 1 species